UACGUAGGGUGCGAGCGUGUCCGGAUUUAUUGGGCGUAAAGAGCUCGUAGGCGGUUUGUCGCGUCGGCCGUGAAAUCUCCACGCUUAACGUGGAGCGUGCGGUCGAUACGGGCAUCACUGGAGUUCGGGCAGGGGAGUCUGGAAUUCCUGGUGUAGCGGUGAAAUGCGCAGAUAUCAGGAGGAACACCGGUGGCGAAGGCGGGACUCUGGGCCGAUACUGACGCUGAGGAGCGAAAGCGUGGGGGAGCAAACAGG
rnacentral:rRNA from 1 species